UUCUUCAGAAACAGCUCGUCAACCACCUCCGUAGCUUGCUAGCCAACAUAGCCGAAAGAUUCAAGCUAUUUAUACGCUUUCGAUGUAUAUUAGCUACUGUGUUUUAGACACACUUCUAUACUUGUUAACCUAUUUAAUUUGAUAUUACGUUAUUGUGUAUUAGUCAGCUAUAGUAGCUGACUGGUUAAGUUAGCACUAGCCUAGUCGCUAAUGAUAGCUAGCUAGCUAACAUCCCCGACCAUGAGUUCAAUAAACUACUCCCCUCCUGUUAAAGAAUAGGCGGUCUGCUGGACGGAGAAAAAGGGUCUGUGGCAGAACGUUGUCGUGAAAGAGGAGGAGGAAGAGGAGGAUGUUACAGUAAAACAAGUAGAGGGUGAGGCUGUUACAGUGAAAGAAGAAGAGAAAGACGUUUCAGUGAAAGAAGAGGAUGAUGUUACAGUAAAAGAAGAGGGGGGUGCAGUUUUUGUUGUGAAAGAGGAGGAGGGAGAGAUUACUGUCACAUUGGAGGAAGUAGAGGAGGUUGGAGAUCUGUUUAACAUCAGAGAGAGAUGGGGAUCCUCUGGGGAGCCUCAACAACAUCAUGAUGCUGACGAGGCAGAGAAGAGUCUCUCCACAUCAGAACACCUCAAGAAACACCAGCAGAGACCCACAGGAAGGAAAUCUCACUGCUGCCCUGACUGUGGGAAAGAUUGUAAAUCUUCAUCAAAACUUAAAAUACACCAGAGAGUACACACAAGAGAGAAGCCUUAUAGCUGUGAUCAAUGUGGGAAGAGUUUUACUCAGUCAAGCUCCCUGAAAUCACACCGGAAACUACACACAGGAGAGAAACCUUAUAGCUGUGAUCAAUGUGGGAAGAGUUAUAUUACAUCUAGCCAUCUGACACUACACCAAAGAAAACACACAGGAGAGAAAUCUUUUCGCUGUGAUCAAUGUGGGAAAAGAUUUUUUAAGUCUAGACAUCUGACAGUACACCACAGAACACACACAGGAGAGAAACCUUAUAGCUGUGAUUAAUGUGGGAAGAGUUUAACUACAUCUAGGAAUCUGACCCUACACCAGUGGACACACAAAGGAGAUAAACCUUAUAGCUGUGAUCAAUGUGGGAAGAGAUACUCUGGUAAAAGAUCUCUUAUCAAACAUCAGAAAAUACAUACAUGAAGGAGUUGUUUCAUGAUGUCAAUGAAAUAAUGUCACAAUGUAGAAUGUUUUUAACAGGAGUAUUUUUAGGAGUAUUUUAAGGUAAUUCACAAUGUAGAACCCUAAACGUUUGCCCCAUUCAAUUGAUUUCAGCAUGAUUUGGAUAUUAGCCUUGGGGAAAAUCCAGGCUCUGAAUUGAAAGAGUACUAUUUAUGUGAUUUAACAAAAAAUGACUAGCACAACAAAAACUGUGUUACGCUUACCACGUUGGUGACCCACUUGAAUCAAUAUGCAACACUUCAAAAUGUAGCUAGCUGUUUUCUACAAAUUGUCCUCUAACCUGUGAUGUACACAUUAUUCCUAGAUUCCGUGUGGUUUUUGAGCUGUUAGUUUUAACAAGACGUGCAACCUCAUCUCCCUCCUCUCGGCACAAUUGAUUUCAACAUGAUAUCGAUGAGUGAUGACAAAUAAGUGUUGUGUUCCUUUGUUUAGCGACCCCUACAUUUAAAUGCAUCACUCCAAAAUGUAGCUGACUGUCUUCUGCAGGUUGUCCUCUAACCAGUGAGGUUAAAGAUUUUGUCAGAGAUUGUCACACCCUGACCAUAGUUUACUUUGUAUGUUUUAUGUUUUGUUUGGUCAGGGUGUGAUCUGAGUGGGCAUUCUAUGUUGUGUGUCUAGUUUUUCUGUUUCUGUGUUUGGCCUGAUAUGGUUCUCAGAGGCAGGUGUUAGUCGUUGUCUCUGAUUGGGAACCAUAUUUAGGUAGCCUGUUUUGUCAUUGUUGGUAUCUUUAGUGGUUGUUGUAUGUGCUAGUGUGUUAGGAACAUACAAUUUGGAAUUUUGCUUGUAUUUUGAGUAAACUCCGUUGUCUUGCUCAAAACCUUUGUCCUGCGCCUGAUAACGCUACAUAUCUGCACACAAUCGCUGACAGAAUCACCCACCACAACGGGACCAAGCAGCGUGUUAUCGGGUAGCAGCGAGUUCUGGACUCCUGGACAUGGGAGGAGAUUUGGGGAAUAUCGCCGCCCCAAAGCAGAGCUGGAGGCAGCGAAAGCUGAGCGGCGGCGAUAUGAGGAGGCAGCGCGACAGGUACGAGAGGCACACAGGGAGUGUGGCUAAGCCAGGUAGCAGACCUGAGCUCACUCCUCGUGCUUAUUAUAAGCAGCGCGUUACUGGUCAGGCACCGUGUUAUGCGGUUAAGCGCACGGUGUCGCCAGUACGUGCCCAUAGCCCGGUGCGCUAUGGGGCAGCCCCCCGAAAGUGUCAUGCGAGUGUGGCAUCCAGCCAGGGCGUAUUGUGCCUGCUCAGCGUGUCUGGUCUCCGGUACGCCGUUUCGGUCCAGGGUAUCUCUUUCGGUCCAGGGUAUCUCGGGGGCGCUGGGAGGGUGCAGUGCGUCCUAUGCCUGUGCUCCGCUCGUGCCGGGCAAAUGUGGGAGUGGAGCCUAAGGGAGAGGUGCGCGUAGUAGGCACUAGAUCUCCAGUGCUCACCCACAGCCCGGUUCAACCUGUGCCUGCACUCUGGAGGGUCCGGGCUAGAGUAGUUAUCCAUCCUGGGGGAGUGGUGCCAAGGCUGCGCCCCAGAGCUCCAGUGCUCCCCCACAGCCCGGUCCUUCAGGUGCCUCCUCCAAACACCAGGCCUCCUGUAGGUCUCCCCAGCCUGGUAGGUCCUGUGGCAGACCCACGCACCAGGCUGUCUCUCCGUCUCCUCCCUACAGGUGCGCCUGUUUGUCCAGCGCCACCAGAGUCUCCUGUCUGUCCAGCACCGUCUGAGCCGCUAGAGCCGCCCGUCUGUCCUGAGCCGCUAGAGCUGCCCGCCUGUCCUGAGCCGCCCGUCUGUCCUGAGCCGCUAGAGCCGCCCGUCUGUCCUGAGCCGCUAGAGCCGCCCGCCAGUCAGGAGCUGCCAGAGCCGCCCGCCAGUCAGGAGCUGCCAGAGCCGCCCGCCAGUCAGGAGCUGCCAGAGCCGCCCGCCAGUCAGGAGCUGUCAGAGCCACUCCAUCCAGUGGGGUCCUUUAGUAGGGUUGCCAGUCCUAGGUCGGCGGCGAGGGUCGCCGCUCAAAGGACGCCACUAAAGCGGACUAAGACUAUGGUGGAGUGGGGUCCACGUCCAGCGCCAGAGCCGCCACCGACAGGGGGGGGGGGGUUCUGUCACGCCUUGACCAUAGUUUGCUUUGUAUGUUUUAUAUUUUGUUUGGUCAGGGUGUGAUCUGAGUGGGCAUUCUAUGUUGUAUGUCUAGUUUUUCUGUUUCUGUGUUUGGCCUGAUAUGGUUCUCAAUCAGAGGCAGGUGUUAGUCGUUGUCUCUGAUUGGGAACCAUAUUUAGGUAGCCUGUUUUGUCAUUGUGGGUUGUGGGUGAUUGUCUAUGUUAGUGUUUUGCGUCAGCACUAUAUUAUUCCUGAAACCCCACCUCUUCAAGGAAUACCUAGGAUAGGAUAAAGCAAUCCUUCUGCCCCCCCCCCCCCCUUAAAAGAUUUAGAUGCACUAUUGUAAAGUGGCUGUUCCACUGGAUGUCAUUAGGUGAAUGCACCAAUUUGUAAGUCGCUCUGGAUAAGAGCGUCUGCUAAAUGACUUAAAUGUAAAAUGUAAAUGUAUUCAUUAGCUUCACGUUCGUCGUUUAUUGUUUUGUAUAGUUUCGUCAAGUGUUCUCUGUGUUUAUUAAAUUCAAGAUGAACACUUACCACGCUGCAUAUUGGUCCUCCGAUCCUUCAAAGACGAACGUGACAGAUAUCUCCCAUUUCCAUGUGUUUUUUUUUUGUUGUGUUAGUUUCAACAGCAAGAACAACCUGAUUUCCCCCCUAAUCGAUAUCAGUGAUUUAUUGCUACUUGUCAAAACAACAGCGUUUUUGGUGCUUGUGCAGUUUUUAUAAGGAGCUUGUUUUAAAAAAUACAAUUAUUGUGGCAGAUGUUUGUGUAUAUACCACAUGUUAGGUUUUCAAUUUAUCCCAAACUGUUUCUGCAUAUUGGUUAUUGAUUUGGACACAUUAAAACUGUGUUUUGACAUUGGGCUAUCCCACCUAGCAAAAUGUAAUUGAAAAUAUGUUGAUAAUAUGGCUAUGCAAUAAAAUAUUUCAUAUUUACAUUUCAUGUAA